GGAGAUCAUAACGUAAAACGUGUCAUGCAACGGUGUAGAGGUUGGGUGAGAACGGAAAGUGCUUGCUUUAUUAUCAAUCAGGUUUAAUAGCCGCAAGGCUUAAGAGAGGGGUCAGGGUGAGAAAAAAUCGUAUAAAUGGCGAGAGAAAAGGCUACAGAAAUCAGUCUAGUGAGCGUCUCCGACACGGCAACAACUGUAGGUGCAUCAUUUGUCACCAACUGCCGUCUUCAUCGUGUUAUUAUUAACUUUGGCGUUGUGUUGCUGUUGGGUGUUUAUCGUUGAUGUCGACCACGAUAGAAAAUCUUAUUAAAGGAGAGAGAAAAGGUGAUAGAAAUCCGUAGAGUGAACGCCUCUGACAUGGCUACAACUGCAUCGUACUAAUUGUCACCAGCUGCCUUCUUCAUCUUAUCAGUUGGCAAUCAUGGUAAACUAUGCCGUUGUGGUUGUUGUGUCGUUGAUGGCUGGGUCGGCGACUGGUGUACCGAUGUCUCCUGCGCAUGGCGGAUACCAAACCGCAACGCCGCCGCCUUACUGCACGACAAACAUACGCAACAACCGGAUACCACACCACCAAGGCCCUAGAGUAGUACACCACGACUUAUGAUGUUCUGAACUACUACACCGAAGCCCCAAAAAUAAUUCUGCCCUGAGUUUCACCACCGAGGCAGCGGAGUACUACACCAC
rnacentral:lncRNA from 1 species